UACGGAGGGAGCUAGCGUUGUUCGGAAUUACUGGGCGUAAAGCGCGCGUAGGCGGCUUUGUAAGUUAGAGGUGAAAGCCCGGGGCUCAACCCCGGAAUUGCCUUUAAGACUGCAUCGCUUGAAUCCGGGAGAGGUGAGUGGAAUUCCGAGUGUAGAGGUGAAAUUCGUAGAUAUUCGGAAGAACACCAGUGGCGAAGGCGGCUCACUGGACUGGUAUUGACGCUGAGGUGCGAAAGCGUGGGGAGCAAACAGG
rnacentral:rRNA from 1 species